rnacentral:rRNA from 1 species
GACGAACGCUGGCGGCGUGCUUAACACAUGCAAGUCGAACGGAAAGGCCCCAGCUUGCUGGAGUACUCGAGUGGCGAACGGGUGAGUAACACGUGGGUAAUCUGCCCUGCACUCUGGGAUAGGUCUGGGAAACUGGGUCUAAUACUGGAUAUGACCUUUCUCUUUAUAGGGUUUGGUGGAAAGUUUUUCGGUGUAGGAUGGGCCCGCGGCCUAUCAGCUUGUUGGUGGGGUGAUGGCCUACCAAGGCGACGACGGGUAGCCGGCCUGAGAGGGUGAUCGGCCACAUUGGGACUGAGAUACGGCCCAGACUCCUACGGGAGGCAGCAGUGGGGAAUAUUGCACAAUGGGCGGAAGCCUGAUGCAGCGACGCCGCGUGAGGGAUGACGGCCUUCGGGUUGUAAACCUCUUUCAGCAGUGACGAAGCGUAAGUGACGGUACCUGCAGAAGAAGCACCGGCUAACUAUGUG